rnacentral:tRNA from 1 species
CCAAAAUGCAAAUUUGGAGACGCACCCCAUAAGGUGCCGGGGCUUCUCCCGUUU